GGGGGUGUGGCGGAAUGGUAGACGCUACGGACUUAGAUAACUGAGCCUUGCUAGAGAAAUCUUUCAAGUGUAAGCUCUCAAACUCAGGGAAACCUAAAUCUGAUUACAGACAUGGCAAUCCUGAGCCAAGCCCAAAAAUUGAAGAUUUAAGAUUGUGUUGACAAUCGAAAAUCCCAAAUUAUGGGAAGGUGCAGAGACCCGACGGGAGCUACCCUAACGUUAAGUCGAGGGUAAAGGGAGAGUCCAAUUCUUAAAGCCGAUAGUAAUUAAAGCUAUCAGGCAGCAGCGAAAGUUGCGGAAGAAUGAAAAUCCGUUGACCUUAAACGGUCGUGGGGGUUCAAGUCCCCCCACCCCCA
rnacentral:tRNA from 1 species